CUGGUUCUCCAUGCAUUGACAUAUUGAAUACACUCAAUGUCAUCUGAUUUUGGAAGUUAAGCAAGGUGAGGUGUGGUAAGUACUUGGGUGGGUGAUCACCAAGAAAUACCAGGGAUGAACCUGC
rnacentral:rRNA from 1 species